rnacentral:lncRNA from 1 species
CCCUAAGCCUGAAGGAGUGACAGAAAGCAGCAGUACUAGAACCAAAACCAGAAGGAGAGAGCCUCCCUAGGAAAGAAGAACCCAGAGUGAAUGGAGUUGAGUACUUGGAGAUGCAAAGAGACCAAGCCUCCAGGAAAAGAAUGGAGCCCUGUCAUCACCUUGAUUUUUAGCUUAGUGAGACCCAAUGUUGGACUUCUGAAUUCCAGAAAGUUGCAAACUAUUUGUUGAAAAGACUUUGUUUUCCCCAUUAAACUGCACCAGCAUCAUUCAACCAUAGCACAGACUACCUCAUUCCUGACUUCCAUGCUGAAUUCCCUUCAGGGUGUGUCAAAACUGCACCCAUGGAGCAGUUCCAGGCAUGGAGAAGUUCCAGAACCAGGAAUCAAACCUGCACCGUAGCUGCAACUGAAGUCACAGCAGUGACAAAGCUGGAUCCUUAACCUGCUGCACCACCAGGGAACUCCAAUUUUUUCUAAUAUUUUAAUUCUAUCUUUUCUAAUUAGAAAAAAAUAGAUAUUACUAUUGCCAUUGUUGUUUACAUGUCACAUUGGUUUAGAAUUGCCCACAUAUUGUCUUUCUCUAACAAAAGAUCUGAUAAAUAAUCACAUCUACUUGUUCAGACUCUGAACUAAUUAAAAGAUAAGCAAGGAUUCAAACAUAUGGGGAAAAAAUGACAUAUUCAAGAAUGUGGCUUAAAUCUGCAGGCAAGAGAGUUUCAUGAUACUGAGCCACAGAAAGAAACUUUAUCCACACUCCAAUGAAAAUAGGGGUCCAUCUCAAUGUGAGAGUACUCCCCUAGAAAUAUGGAUCGAGGAUCAGCAUGGACCUUGUGCAUGCUAGCCAUAGGCAUCUGAUUACAAACAGUGUACAGCACCAGUUCUUUUGUUAUAUGUUAAGUACCAUAUAAUAGAAAGUUUUGUAAUCAAUGUAAAAUCCUCUGUUCUGCCCCUUUCUUAAGAAUUUGUAGCACUUAAAUGAAGAUGAAAGUUUAAAUCUGCUUUUCUUUUUAGGGCUGUACUAUGGCAUAUGGAAGUUUCUGGGCUAGGGGUUGAAUUGGAGCUGCAGGUGCCUGCCUACACCACAGCCACAGCAAAGCUGGAUCCAAGCCACAUUGCAACCUACACCACAGCUCAUGGCAAUGCCAGAUCUUUAGCCCAUUGAGUGUGGCCAGGGAUCAAACCCAAGUCUUCAUGGAUUACUAGUCACGUUCAUUACCACUGAGCCACAACAGGAACUCCUAAAAUGAUUUUCUUAAACUACAAUUCUCUGAUAAUAUUUUUAAAUUUUUUUUAUAAUUUCUAGGGAGAACAAGAUAUCAAAGGGUUGACACAGGAGCAUAUAACACUGUGGUAUUUAAAAUAUAUAGCAAAUAGCUAUAUAUAUAUAUAUAUAAAGAGAGAGAGAGCAUGAGACAGAGAGAGAGAAGUGUUUUCAACGAAUUCUAGGGGUCAAGAUCAGAGCUCUUUCCUUGAAGAACUGAGCUAGUAGGCAAAUCAUUUAAGUAAUGAUUGUGCAAAGGAUAUAUAAGAAUCAGUCAUUAAAGCUGAGGUAAAAUCAGGGAUAGCACAUUGAAAUUUUGGCAGAAAUGAUAUCAUUAAUAUACAGGCCAAAGUUUAAAAUUUAAUCAGAAAGCUAAAUAUUGCACUAGCUUCAGGAUGGGACUAGGCGUUCUCUUGUGGUAUAGCAGGUUAAGGACCCAGUGUCACCACUGCUAUAGCAUGGAUUUGACCCCUGGCUUGGGAACUUCCACAUGCCACAGGUGUGGUCAAAAUCUUAAAUAAAUCAAUAAAGGAUGGAUUAGUGUUCCAUGACUGUCCUAUAUGGAAAAUGAGAUGAUGACCAGCACCUAGAGACACAAGUGUGGCAGGAGUCAGAAUUAACUGGCCCACUCUACUUGUAGAAUAAAAUCUUUUUCUAAAACCCACAAACUAAUAGAUUAGGGUUUGGAGGGCAAGUCAGCAAGAGUAGCUCCUUAUCUACAUGGGUCAGGCCCAUUGAUUGUUUACAAGUGAAGAGAUGGAAUAUAAUACAUAUUAGUAGUGGACAUGACCCUUGGCCAAGAAUUCCAGAGUCUUCCUUGCACAUGCUAUUUACAUGAAGUACUGCAGUAGUCAGAGUAUACCACCUCCACGGAUGUCUCUAGUAGAUGAGAAUUUAAGACUGUACAGAGAGAGCAAAAUGAGCAUGGGAAGGAAAGUAUAGUUAGUUCACAGAACUUUCAGUGCUGUAGCUGCUAUUCAGUGUGAUGGGUGGAAAUAAACCACCCCAUGGGAGUGGAAUCUGUCCAGAGAAAGAGAGAAAUGGCUUAUGUGGGAAAAUGUUGGUUGGAGAAGCAUUUGACAGUUUUCAUCAGUUAUUAACACAAAGGUAAGAGAGAAUAAGUGUAGAGGGGGGAAAAGUGGGAAAAGUUUGGAAAAGUAAUAUCUAGAUUUUUAGAGGGAUUCUGAAGCCAUGAAUACCAAGGCUGGUCAGCAUGGUUUUUUUUGUUUGUUUGUUUUUGUUUUUUGUUUGUUUUUUGUUUUGUUUUGUUUUUUGCUGAGAAAAACAGCAAGAGAAAACCAGCAAGAGAAAACAGAAGGUCGAUGUACUGAUGGAGUGAAGAUGAAUUUUUUCAAUCAUCUGACAACAAAUAUAUGCUUCAUGUGUUGUGAUCUCUGGCUGUCUCUGGGGCUUUGAUCAGUUAUGAAUGUUAUUUCAUCAUAUGCAUGACCUGUGGGGGAAGAAAUCCUAUAUAAAUGAUUGGGAUUACUGCACCAUGCACCUCACAGCUGCAUGAAGUUUGUAAAUAAUUGAACAAGAUUUUCAUGCCACAGCCAACCUCCCAGGUGAAUUAGAUAUAGUACACAUUAAAAUCAAAUAAAAAGUUAGAUCGCUGUAGUUCCAUCUGGGCUUGUUAUCAUGUGAAGUCCUGCUUGUAAUGAAGAAUACUCAAGGAUGACAUCUGAAACAAUAGUUCCUCAGGUUGAUGAGUUCAGUAAUGAAUCGCUCUGUUAUUUCCUUCCAAGACUGAUUAAAAUAGUACUUGAGCUUCUGAAAAUACUGAAGUGCUUAUAAAUGAAGCAAAAAAAGAUAUCUGGUGAAAAACAAGACAGGGCAUGCUCAUUCAGCGGUCAGUGUCUUUACAGCAAAAACAAAUCCCUUCAGCAAACUCAUGAAUGAAAACAUUGCUUUCAUGUUGAAUAAUUCUGAUUUUGUGAGAGAGCCUUCUCUCCAAGUGGGUUGAUCAUAACUUCUAUCUAAUGUAACUGGACCAACCUUAAGAAUCUAUUGUUUGUAGAUUCAUGAAUAGAGUCUGCCAGGGUAUAUAUCUUACCUAAUUAUGCAUUCAUUCAAGGAUCACAGAAAAAGCAUCAAAGUUUUAGUUUCUGUGGGUAAAAUAAAACUGAUGUAGAUUUAGCUUUGACAAGGAGGAGCACAUAGACAGGAAGAUAAUUAAUACCUGUUACUCACCAGAUUAAGCUAUAUUGUGAUAUAGUCCAUAGAAAAGCAUAAAGUAUUAUAAAAGUUCCAUUUUGUUUUUAAGCUGAGGAGAGAUUAGAAUAGGCCACUUUGAGGAUGGGAUAUAUAAAUGGACCAAAAAAAAAAAAA